rnacentral:rRNA from 1 species
CGGACGGGUGAGUAACGCGUGGAUAACCUGCCGUAUACCGGGGGAUAACACUUAGAAAUAGGUGAUAAUACCGCAUGAGCGCACAGCUCCGCAUGGAGCGGUGUGAAAAACUCUGGUGGUAUACGAUGGUUCCGCGUCUGAUUAGCUAGUUGGUGGGGUAAUGGCCUACCAAGGCAACGAUCAGUAGCCGGCCUGAGAGGGUGAACGGCCACAUUGGGACUGAGACACGGCCCAAACUCCUACGGAAGGCAGCAG